GUACCCUUAGCUCAUUUGAUUAGAGCAUACGGCUCAUAACCGUUCGGUCGUAGGUUAGAGUCCUACAGGAUAUA
rnacentral:tRNA from 1 species